CCUAUCCCUCGUGUGCCUUGCUCCACGACUGGAUGGUGCUUCGGGGACGAGAGUGACAGGUGGUGCAUGGUUGUCGUCAGCUCGUGUCGUGAGAUGUUGGGUUAAGUCCCGCAACGAGCGCAACCCUUGAUCUUAGUUGCCAGCAUUCAGUUGGGCACUCUAAGGUGACUGCCGGUGACAAACCGGAGGAAGGUGGGGAUGACGUCAAAUCAUCAUGCCCCUUAUGACCUGGGCUACACACGUGCUACAAUGGACGGUACAAAGGGCAGCAAAACCGCGAGGUCGAGCCAAUCCCAUAAAACCGUUCUCAGUUCGGAUUGCAGGCUGCAACUCGCCUGCAUGAAGCCGGAAUCGCUAGUAAUCGCGGAUCAGCAUGCCGCGGUGAAUACGUUCCCGGGCCUUGUACACACCGCCGUCGACGCGGCCG
rnacentral:rRNA from 1 species